AACAAACGCUGGCGGCGUGUCUUAAGCAUGCAAGUCGAGCGGCAAGGGCAGCAAUGCCCCUAGAGCGGCGGACUGGUGAGUAACGCGUGGGUGAUCUACCUAGGGCAUGGGGAUAGCCAUUAGAAAUAGUGGGUAAUACCGAAUACGCUCGCAUGGAUGCGUCCAUGCGAGGAAAGGUGCUACGGCACCGGCCUAUGAUGAGCUUGCGUCUGAUUAGCUAGUUGGUGAGGUAAAGGCCCACCAAGGCGAUGAUCGGUAGCCGGCCUGAGAGGGUGUACGGCCACACUGGGACUGAGAUACGGCUCAGACUCCUACGGGAGGCAGCAGCUAAGAAUAUUCCGCAAUGGACGAAAGUCUGACGGAGCGACGCCGCGUGGAUGAUGAAGGCCGAAAGGUUGUAAAGUCCUUUUGCUGGGGAAGAAUAAGCGUGGGAGGGAAUGCCCGCGUGAUGACAUGAACCGGCGAAUAAGCCCCGGCUAACUACGUGCC
rnacentral:rRNA from 1 species